CAGUCGCCGCGGGAAUACGUAGGGUGCAAGCGUUAAUCGGAAUUACUGGGCGUAAAGCGUGCGCAGGCGGUUCGUUAAGACAGACGUGAAAUCCCCGGGCUUAACCUGGGAACUGCAUUUGUGACUGGCGGGCUAGAGUAUGGCAGAGGGGGUAGAAUUCCACGUGUAGCAGUGAAAUGCGUAGAGAUGUGGAGGAAUACCGAUGGCGAAGGCAGCCCCCUGGGCCAAUACUGACGCUCAUGCACGAAAGCGUGGGGAGCAAACAGGAUUAGAUACCCCAGUAGUCCCUGUCUCUUAUACA
rnacentral:rRNA from 1 species